AUAUCAAUAAGCGGAGGAAAAGAAACCAACAGGGAUUGCCUCAGUAGCGGCGAGUGAAGCGGCAAAAGCUCAAAUUUGAAAUCUGGUAGUUCUGCUACCCGAGUUGUAAUUUGUAGAAAACUGUCUUUGUUAGGGUGCCUGUCUAAGUUCCUUGGAACAGGACGUCGCAGAGGGUGAGAAUCCCGUGUGAUGGGUGGCCCGAGCUUUUAAGGCGUUUUCGAAGAGUCGAGUUGUUUGGGAAUGCAGCUCUAAGUGGGUGGUAAAUUCCAUCUAAAGCUAAAUAUUGGCGAGAGACCGAUAGCGAACAAGUACAGUGAUGGAAAGAUGAAAAGAACUUUGAAAAGAGAGUGAAACAGUACGUGAAAUUGUUGAAAGGGAAGGGUAUUUGAUCCGACAUGGGAUUUACUCAUCAUUGCUCCUUGUGGGUGGUGCUCUGGGUUUUUUCUGGGCCAGAAUCAGUUUGUGUGGCAGGAUAAAGGCGUGAGGAAGUAGCUCUUCUGGAGCAAUAUAACUCAUGUUAAUACUGCCUAUGCGGACUGAGGAAUGCGGUUUUUACCAAGGAUUCUGGCAUAACGAUUAAAUACCG
rnacentral:rRNA from 1 species